rnacentral:lncRNA from 1 species
UUGAGGAUUGUCAGGGGUGAUAAGGCUUACUAGCUGCAUGCAGGUCCCAAGUGGGACACACUGGACUUAGGGAUACUGGCCCUGCUGACAUCUUGUGAAUCAAGUUUCUGAUUGCACUGUUUAUGAUUUGGUCUCUCUUGCUUGGUCAGGGCCUGGUAGUUCUCCUUGACUAUCUCCAUCUCAGUGUGGCUACCGCUGACUGGAGAUACUUUGGUGAACACCAGCCUUUUCAUCCAGCCUAGACUGGUUCUUCUGCAGCCUCUGCCUCUGCUGGAGGUGUAUCUGCCCCUGACAUGGU